rnacentral:rRNA from 1 species
AUUGAACGCUGGCGGCAUGCCUUACACAUGCAAGUCGAACGGUAACAGGGAGCUUGCUCCGCUGACGAGUGGCGAACGGGUGAGUAAUGUAUCGGAACGUACCUUUCAGUGGGGGAUAACGUAGCGAAAGUUACGCUAAUACCGCAUAUUCUGUGAGCAGGAAAGCAGGGGAUCGCAAGACCUUGCGCUGAUUGAGCGGCCGAUAUCAGAUUAGCUAGUUGGUGAGGUAAAGGCUCACCAAGGCGACGAUCUGUAGCGGGUCUGAGAGGAUGAUCCGCCACACUGGAACUGAGACACGGUCCAGACUCCUACGGGAGGCGGCAGUGGGGAAUUUUGGACAAUGGGGGCAACCCUGAUCCAGCCAUGCCGCGUGAGUGAAGAAGGCCUUCGGGUUGUAAAGCUCUUUCGGCCGGGAAGAAAUCGCAUGGGUUAAUACCCUGUGCGGAUGACGGUACCGGCAUAAGAAGCACCGGCUAACUACGUGCCAGCAGCCGCGGUAAUAC